CCUACUCCAGACUCAUCUGCUUCCAGCCAACUGAACUGGUUCCAGCUGGCCACUGCCUGCAUUUAGCCACAGAGGGCCGCCCUCCAGAGCCUUCUGCUCACACACCUGUCCUGAAAUCCACAAAAGAUUCAUCUGGACAGCUCUUCCAGAAUUCUCUAAAGGGACAACAUGCUCCAAGCCUUGCCCCUGUCAGCAUUGAGAGUGACAGGAUGCUGAUGAAUCAAUGUACAGCUGAAGCUUGAGGACAGCAUUCAAAGGAUUCCAAGUGAGAUUGCCUGCCCCACUUCUCCCCCAUGUGUACUUGAUGUUGUGUUAUCCAGCUUGGUUCUUGCUUCCCACCUUCUUACCAACUGUAACCUUUGCCUUGGCCUUGUGGACAGUUGCCCCAGAG
rnacentral:lncRNA from 1 species